rnacentral:rRNA from 1 species
GAUGAACGCUGGCGGCGUGCCUAAUACAUGCAAGUCGAGCGAAGAGACGCGGUCCUUGCUCCUCUGGCGUUAGCCGCGGACGUGUCAGUAACACAUGGAUCACCUACCUGUAAGACUGGGACAACUUCCGGAAACCAAUGCUACUACCGCAUAAUAUAUUGAACCGCAUGUUUCAAUAGUGAAAGAUGGUUUUGCUGUCACUUAUACAUGUAUCCGCGCAGCUUUCGAUAUUUGGUAAGGUAACGGCCUCCCAAGGCAACGAGGCGUAGCCGACCUGAGAGGGGGAACGGCCACACGGGAACUGAGAAAGGGCCGAGACUCUGAGGGGAGGAAGCAGUAGGGAAUCGUACGCAAGGGGGGAAAGCGGAACGGAGCAACGCGGCGGGAGUGAUGAAGGUGUGCGGACCGGAAAAUGCUGUUAUAAGGGAAGAAGAAAUGUGUAAGUAACUGUGCACAAAUUGACGGUACCUAAUCAGAAAGCCACGGCUAACUACGUG